GGCAGGUCCGAAUGUAGUGAUGUUUACAACUAAUUGAUCACAACGAGUUACAGAUUUCUUUUUUCUUCUCUCCUUCCACUGCUUCAUUUGACUAGACUUAA
rnacentral:Y_RNA from 1 species